rnacentral:rRNA from 1 species
UACGUAGGGUGCAAGCGUUGUCCGGAAUUAUUGGGCGUAAAGAGCUCGUAGGCGGUUUGUUGCGUCGGCUGUGAAAUCCCGAGGCUCAACCUCGGGUCUGCAGUCGAUACGAGCAAACUAGAGUGUUGCAGGGGAGACUGGAAUUCCUGGUGUAGCGGUGAAAUGCGCAGAUAUCAGGAGGAACACCGGUGGCGAAAGCGGCGCACUGGACCACAACUGACGCUGAGGCGCGAAAGCUAGGGGGAGCAAACAGG